UGGUUGAUCCUGCCAGAGGCGACCGCUUUUGGAGUUCGAUUAAGCCAUGCGAGUCGAGAGUCUUAGGGACUCGGCAUACUGCUCAGUAACACGUGGAUAACCUGCCCUAUCGUCUGGAAUAACCUCGGGAAACUGAGAAUAAGGCCGGAUAGUUCACAUAGCCUGGAACGGUUUGUGAAUCAAGGUAGGAUGGGUCUGCGGCGUAUCAGGUAGUAGGGGGUGUAAAGGACCCCCUAGCCUUCGACGCGUACGGGUGUUGGGAGACAUAGCCCGGAGAUGGAUUCUGAGACACGAAUCCAGACCCUACGGGGUGCAGCAGGCGCGAAAACUUCACACUGCAGGAAACUGUGAUGAGGGAACUCCAAGUGUGUGCACUAUGUGUACACUUUUAUGAACUUUUAAUCGGUUCAGGAAUAAGGGCUGGGAAAGACCGGUGCCAGCCGCCGCGGUAAUACCGGCAGCUCAAGUGGUCGUCGCUUUUAUUGGGCCUAAAACGUCCGUAGCCUGUUUGGUAAAUCUGUGGGUAAAUCAACUCGCUCAACGAGUUGAAUUCUGCAGAGACUGCCAGACUAGGGACCGGGAGAGGUGUGGGGUACUCGAGGGGUAGGGGUAAAAUCCUGUCAUCCUUCGAGGACCACCAGUUGCGAAGGCGCCACACUGGAACGGAUCCGACGGUCAGGGACGAAGCCUAGGGGCACGAACCGGAUUAGAUACCCGGGUAGUCCUAGGUGUAAACGCUGUGAACUUGGUGUCGGGGGUCCGCAAGGGGUCCCCGGUGCCGGAGUGAAGAUGUUAAGUUCACUGCCUGGGGAGUACGGUCGCAAGGCUGAAACUUAAAGGAAUUGGCGGGGGAGCACUGCAACGGGAGGAGCGUGCGGUUUAAUUGGACUCAACGCCGGGA
rnacentral:rRNA from 1 species